rnacentral:tRNA from 1 species
GUUAAUUGACAGAUAAUGUAACGAAUUUAAGUUUCGUAAAUAAUGAAUAAAUGAAUAUUUUAUAUAUAAUA